rnacentral:misc_RNA from 1 species
UCCGAGUUGACCCCGGCAGUCUCCUACGAGUCCCCGGCAUUACCCGCUGGCAACAUAGGACAAGGGUUGCGCUCGUUGCGGGACUUAACCCAACAUCUCACGACACGAGCUGACGACAGCCAUGCAGCACCUAACUAACGGCUCUCCGAAGAGCACCCCGAAAUUUCUUCCAGGUUCCGUCACUUUCUAGCCCAGGUAAGGUUCUUCGCGUUGCGUCGAAUUAAACCACAUGCUCCACCGCUUGCGCGGGCCCCCGUCAAUUCCUUUGAGUUUCAGCCUUGCGGCCGUACUCCCCAGGCGGGGCACUUAAUGCGUUAGCGCCGGCACCCAGGGGGUCGCUCCCCCAGGCACCUAGUGCCCAUCGUUUACGGCGUGGACUAC